rnacentral:rRNA from 1 species
AGAAUCAACGCUGGCGGCGUGCCUAACACAUGCAAGUCGCACGAGAAAGGGGAGCAAUCCCUGAGUACAGUGGCGCACGGGUGAGUAACACGUGAAUAAUCUACCUCCGAGUGGGGAAUAACUGAGCGAAAUCUUAGCUAAUACCGCAUAAUACCCACGGGUCAAAGCAGCAAUGCGCUUGGAGAGGAGUUCGCGGCAGAUUAGUUAGUUGGCGGGGUAAUGGCCCACCAAGACGAUGAUCUGUAUCCGGCCUGAGAGGGCGCACGGACACACUGGAACUGAAACACGGUCCAGACUCCUACGGGAGGCAGCAGUGGGGAAUUUUGCGCAAUGGGGGAAACCCUGACGCAGCAACGCCGCGUGGAGGAUGAAGCCCCUUGGGGUGUAAACUCCUUUCGAUCGGGAAGAUAAUGACGGUACCGAUAUAAGAAGCCCCGGCUAACUUCGUGCCAGCAGCCGC